AUUGAACGCUGGCGGCAGGCCUAACACAUGCAAGUCGAGCGGAUGAAGGGAGCUUGCUCCUGGAUUCCGCGGCGGACGGGUGAGUAAUGCCUAGGAAUCUGCCUGGUAGUGGGGGAUAACGUCCGGAAACGGGCGCUAAUACCGCAUACGUCCUGAGGGAGCAAGUGGGGGAUCUUCGGACCUCACGCUAUCAGAUGAGCCUAGGCCGGAUUAGCUAGUUGGUGGGGUAAAGGCCUACCAAGGCGACGAUCCGUAACUGGUCUGAGAGGAUGAUCAGUCACACUGGAACUGGGACACGGUCCAGGCUCCUGCGGGAGGCAGCAGUGGGGAAUAUUGGACAAUGGGCGAAAGCCUGAUCCAACCAUGCCGCGUGUGUGAAAAAGGUCUUCGGAUUGUAAAGCACUUUAAGUUGGGAGGAAGGGCAGUAAGUUAAUACCUUGCUGUUUUGACGUUACCAACAGAAUAAGCACCGGCUAACUUCGUG
rnacentral:rRNA from 1 species